GAAACCGCUAAACCUUUCGUGCAUACU
rnacentral:sRNA from 1 species